GGGCACAUGGUGUAGUUGGUUAUCACGCUCGCUUAGCAUCUGAGGUUCAGAAUCAUGCGAGAGGUGCUGGGUUCAAUUCCCAGUGUGUCCA
rnacentral:tRNA from 1 species